AUGAAUGUAUUUAUAUGUUGCAAGUAUGGUUUAUGGAAUGCCGCCAUUUUGUUACAAAAUUUCCCGUGUAUAUUGAUUGGCAAUAGCACUUUAUUGUGUGUGUAGCCCAAUUCUUAGUGUUUUAUUUGAGACCUCCCUUAAUGUGUGAGGGUAAGGAUGUAGUAAUGUGCAUGUAGCAGAGGAUGUGCUUAAUCUCAAGAAGAAUAUAGCUAACCCUUGACGUGCUUUGCCGCAAACAUCAGUGAAUCCUACCAUCAUUUCAGAUAAACGGCUUGUAUUACAUGAAUCUUACAUCGGCUAACAGUAAAGUUUUAUCUUUAAUUCUUCAGUGGUUGAGUGAGAAAAACCAGUGGGAAGAACAAAGACUACUCCUAACCUUUUUUUUCCCUCUUUAUGCAAAAUAAUGUGGCUUGAGUUUUGUAAAUGGCAGUGACAGUGGAAAACAAAGAAGGAGAACACAAUUCCAUGAUUGUCGAAAGCUGGAACACACAACUGCAAUCGAUUGCUGGAUGGUGUGCACUGAUUUCCAUUUGUCUACAACGUGCUGCUGUUGAAAGGAAGUCAAAGAAGACUCCAUCCUACAUGUUUUCUUUCCUAUAUCAACGUGUCAAGUGCAAUUAUUUGUCUCUGGGAUUCCGGAUGUUUUGGAAUAUGAUGGGGAUUCUAGACAGAUGAAUACACUAUCACAUCCAAGAUUCUGCGCAGACCAAGGAAAGCGAUAAUACCAGGUAUCAUCAGCUCAAAAUUGUUCAGUAGUGGUAUAUUGCGAGACACUUAUUGGGCUGAAGAACACGCUUUUACAUUUAUUCUACUGUGAUGACACAUCUUUGUUACUGCAAUUAACUUCCUAAGCAGCUCUUUUGGAAAGAAGAAAGAAAGUUAGUUGUUACCUUGAACCCUUUUUGAUAAAAGCUGCAUCUUAACUAGGAACAUAAAAGUUACCAGCAGAAGUAAUCAAAAGCAAUACCUUAUUUAAUUUUUAGCUCUUCAGGUGGUGAAUAAGAUCCCUGCCGUUGAUCUGUAAAAUAACAGUUUCAAAAAAUUGACCAAAUAUAUCUACGUAACCACAACAAUUAAAACUAGCAUUUGGAAGAAGGUGCUUUGCAUGAUUAUGUUCCAUUUCUUUUUAUGUAAAUGUCCAAGAUAAAUUUUGAUUGUUCGACAAA